AAAUUGAAGAGUUUGAUCAUGGCUCAGAUUGAACGCUGGCGGCAGGCCUAACACAUGCAAGUCGAACGGUAACAGGAAGCAGCUUGCUGCUUCGCUGACGAGUGGCGGACGGGUGAGUAAUGUCUGGGAAACUGCCUGAUGGAGGGGGAUAACUACUGGAAACGGUAGCUAAUACCGCAUAAUGUCGCAAGACCAAAGAGGGGGACCUUCGGGCCUCUUGCCAUCGGAUGUGCCCAGAUGGGAUUAGCUUGUUGGUGGGGUAACGGCUCACCAAGGCGACGAUCCCUAGCUGGUCUGAGAGGAUGACCAGCCACACUGGAACUGAGACACGGUCCAGACUCCUACGGGAGGCAGCAGUGGGGAAUAUUGCACAAUGGGCGCAAGCCUGAUGCAGCCAUGCCGCGUGUAUGAAGAAGGCCUUCGGGUUGUAAAGUACUUUCAGCG
rnacentral:rRNA from 1 species